AUUGAACGCUGGCGGCAGGCUUAACACAUGCAAGUCGAGCGAGCGGCGGACGUGUGAGUAAUGUCUGGGAAACUGCCUGAUGGAGGGGGAUAACUACUGGAAACGGUAGCUAAUACCGCCUACCACCCGAUGUGCCCAUAUGGGAUUAGCUAGUCGGUGGGGGAAUGGCUCACCUAGGCGACGAUCCCUGGCUGGUCUGAGAGGAUGACCAGCCACACUGGCACUGAGACACGGUCCAGACUCCUACGGGAGGCAGCAGUGGGGAAUAUUGCACAAUGGGCGCAAGCCUGAUACAGCCAUGCCGCGUGUGUGAAGAAGGCCUUCGGGUUGUACAGCACUUUAAGCGAGGAGGCGUUACUCGCAGAAGAAGCACCGGCUAACUCCGUGCCAGCAGCCGCGGUAAUUC
rnacentral:rRNA from 1 species